rnacentral:rRNA from 1 species
GAGAUGGAUUGGUGGCCUUCGGGAACGUCUGACACAGGUGCUGCAUGGCUGUCGUCAGCUCGUGUCGUGAGAUGUUGGGUUAAGUCCGUAACGAGCGCAACCCUUGUCCUUAGUUACCAGCACGUUAUGGUGGGCACUCUAAGGAGACUGCCGGUGACAAACCGGAGGAAGGUGGGGGAUGACGUCAAGUCAUCAUGGCCCUUACGGCCUGGGCUACACACGUGCUACAAUGGUCGGUACAAAGGGUUGCCAAGCCGCGAGGUGGAGCUAAUCCCAUAAAACCGAUCGUAGUCCGGAUCGCAGUCUGCAACUCGACUGCGUGAAGUCGGAAUCGCUAGUAAUCGUGAAUCAGAAUGUCACGGUGAAUACGUUCCCGGGCCUU